GAUGAAGAACGCAGCGAAAUGCGAUAAGUAAUGCGAAUUGCAGAAUUCCGUGAGUCAUCGAAUCUUUGAACGCACAUUGCGCCCCUUGGUAUUCCGAGGGGCAUGCCUGUUCGAGCGUCAUUAUAACCCUUCAAGCUCAGCUUGGUGUUGGGGCCUGCUGUAACUGGUAGCCCUUAAAAUCAGUGGCAGUGCUAUUAGGCUCUAAGCGUAGUAAUUCUUCUCGCUAUAGUGUGUAGUGAGCGCUUGCCAGAACCCCAAACUUUUAUAUGAUUGACCUCGGAUCAGGUAGGGAUACCCGCUGAACUUAAGCAUAUCAAUAAGCGGAGGA
rnacentral:misc_RNA from 1 species